AUCGGAACGUACCCAGUCGUGGGGGAUAACUAUCCGAAAGGAUAGCUAAUACCGCAUACGUCCUGAGGGAGAAAGCGGGGGAUCGCAAGACCUCGCGCGAUUGGAGCGGCCGAUAUCGGAUUAGCUAGUUGGUGAGGUAAAGGCUCACCAAGGCGACGAUCCGUAGCUGGUCUGAGAGGACGACCAGCCACACUGGAACUGAGACACGGUCCAGACUCCUACGGGAGGCAGCAGUGGGGAAUUUUGGACAAUGGGGGCAACCCUGAUCCAGCCAUUCCGCGUGAGUGAAGAAGGCCUUCGGGUUGUAAAGCUCUUUCGGCAGGAACGAAACGGUGGUCCCUAAUACGGGCUGCUAAUGACGGUACCUGAAGAAGAAGCACCGGCUAACUACGUGCCAGCAGCCGCGGUAAUACGUAGGGUGCGAGCGUUAAUCGGAAUUACUGGGCGUAAAGCGUGCGCAGGCGGUUAUGUAAGACAGGUGUGAAAUCCCCGGGCUUAACCUGGGAACUGCGCUUGUGACUGCAUAACUUGAGUGUGGCAGAGGGGGGUGGAAUUCCACGUGUAGCAGUGAAAUGCGUAGAGAUGUGGAGGAACACCGAUGGCGAAGGCAGCCCCCUGGGUCAACACUGACGCUCAUGCACGAAAGCGUGGGGAGCAAACAGGAUUAGAUACCCUGGUAGUCCACGCCCUAAACGAUGCGAACUAGGUGUUGGGGAAGGAGA
rnacentral:rRNA from 1 species